rnacentral:tRNA from 1 species
GGGGUUGUGGCUCAGAGGUAGAGCACUUGCCUAGCAUGUGUGAGGCACUGGGUUCAAUUCUCAGCACCUCA